rnacentral:lncRNA from 1 species
CGAAUUUAUAUGUAAUAGAUAUUAAUUAAAUAAAAAAGUUAGGGGAAAAAUAAUAUUAAAUAAAAUUUUGGUUUGAUAUGAAAUAUUGAGUGGGAUUUGUCAAUUACAUAUUUACCUUUUAUAUACGAGGAUGGUAUAUGUUCGUAUGUACAUUAAGGAACUGAAAUUUCAAAGUGAAAUCGAACAACAAUAUAGUACAAAUAUAUACAAACAAGCACUACAGAAGAAGCAGAGGCCAGUGAUAAACUUCUAAGAGCUUGUCUUAAAUAAUUCAGUGAAACCCAUGCCCAAGUAGCAAAGUUUGUACAACUUUAAGACCAAGCAGCAUCUUGCUGGAAGAAAACCAAGUAAUAGAGAACCAAUCUACUGCAGAAAAAGAAAUUUUUUGGGACAGCACCUAUCAAAAUUGCAUCAGCAUCAACCCAUAAACAUUACAACUGCAUCACAGACACGAAGUGCAGCAAAACAAAGGUUUAACUGAAAAUAAACAGAAGCAAAAAGGGUAAAAACUGAGAUCACCAAUAGAAGCAGCCUCCGAAUACGCAGCGAUCACUUCAACAUUUUCUGACGAAAGAGCCUUCAUAACAACAACAUGUCAAACAAAAGCUCUUGAACGACUGGAAUUCAACACUAGUAUAUAUGAUACCUAAGCUUGACCUUUAUAAUGUUUGCAUCUACAAGUAAAAAACACCCAGUUUCCACAAAUCUAUCACCAAAAUUCAAUGCAUACGAACUCAAACAUGAAAAUAUUUAUCCCCAAUAAGCCAGACUCCAAUUUCUUAAUAACACAGGCAAUAUUAAAUAUGGAAAUUGACAGCCACAAACUUAUAUCAGCUACUAAAUACAAAGAAGGGGAUUGCAGAUUGAACACUACGAUAAAACCCCAAACCCAACCAUAAACCGAGCAACCAAUUCAAAAACGAAACAAGUUCAUUGUCCCAAAGCAAGGACAUACUUUGACUGUGGAAACCAGAGCAACGUCGUCGUAGGUCUGUUCCCUCAACCGUUCGUUUCCUGGAACUCACCGUCUCUGAAAUUGGGAUUGAUUAGAGGGGGAAAAAUUGAAUCCCGUCGAUCAAAGAUGUCGGGAAGGAAGAAUACGAACCAGGGGAGAGAGAGGUGUGGUUAAAAAGGAUUGAUUUUCUGCCUUUGAUUGCAAGAGAGAUCCGGUGACGGGAAUCAUCGUUAUCGGCGGUGGCGGUGAAUAGAGAGGGAGGAGGAGCAGACCUCUUCCGUCAAUUAUCGAAGAGAAGAAAGAGAAUAUGAAUAGAAGAGAGAAGGUAAAAAGAGAUGAGAGAUAGGUGGGGCUUAAAUUGGCUGAC